rnacentral:rRNA from 1 species
GAUGAACGCUGGCGGCGUGCCUAAUACAUGCAAGUCGAGCGAACAGACGAGGAGCUUGCUCCUCUGACGUUAGCGGCGGACGGGUGAGUAACACGUGGAUAACCUACCUAUAAGACUGGGAUAACUUCGGGAAACCGGAGCUAAUACCGGAUAAUAUAUUGAACCGCAUGGUUCAAUAGUGAAAGACGGUUUUGCUGUCACUUAUAGAUGGAUCCGCGCCGCAUUAGCUAGUUGGUAAGGUAACGGCUUACCAAGGCAACGAUGCGUAGCCGACCUGAGAGGGUGAUCGGCCACACUGGAACUGAGACACGGUCCAGACUCCUACGGGAGGCAGCAGUAGGGAAUCUUCCGAAAUGGGCGAAAGCCUGACGGAGCAACGCCGCGGGAGUGAUGAAGGUCUUCGGAUCGUAAAACUCUGUUAUUAGGGAAGAACAAAUGUGUAAGUAACUAUGCACGUCUUGACGGUACCUGAUCAGAAAGCCACGGCUAACUACGUG